rnacentral:rRNA from 1 species
AAACGUGGUUGGCCAAAUUGUGGCAUGUGCCAACUUUGCAAAAGAGAACAAGAAUCGGGCGCGCAUCUUCUUUUCAAGUGUCGCUACACGCUCAGGCUAUGGAUGUUAGUCAUUAAGAAGCUUGGACUUGCUCACAUGGACACAACCAAUUAGCAUCUUGCGGACUCCGUCAACGAGUGGUGGGACAAGCGAACCAACAAUCAAAACCCCAAUAGACAUGCUAUGGCCUCUCUUACCAUGCUCGUCUCUUGGACAAUAUAGAAUGAACGAAAUGCUAGGGUGUUCCGCUACAAAUGUGUGCCACCACCCGUUCUCUUUCACACCAUUUUAGAGGAGGCGAAGCUUUGGAUCACCGCGGGCGCUAAGAAAUUGGGGCAUAUUAUGUUGCGUGAGUAG